rnacentral:rRNA from 1 species
GCGUGAGGAACCUGCCUCAAAGAGGGGGACAACAGUUGGAAACGACUGCUAAUACCGCAUAAGCCCACAGCUCGGCAUCGAGCAGAGGGAAAAGGAGUGAUCCGCUUUGAGAUGGCCUCGCGUCCGAUUAGCUAGUUGGUGAGGUAACGGCCCACCAAGGCGACGAUCGGUAGCCGGACUGAGAGGUUGAACGGCCACAUUGGGACUGAGACACGGCCCAGACUCCUACGGGAGGCAGCAGUGGGGAAUAUUGCACAAUGGGGGAAACCCUGAUGCAGCGACGCCGCGUGGAGGAAGAAGGUCUUCGGAUUGUAAACUCCUGUUGUUGAGGAAGAUAAUGACGGUACUCAACAAGGAAGUGACGGCUAACUACGUGCCAGCAGCCGCGGU